UACGUAGGGUGCAAGCGUUGUCCGGAAUUAUUGGGCGUAAAGAGCGUGUAGGCGGCCUGGUAGGUCAGCUGUGAAAACUCGAGGCUCAACCUCGAGACGCCGGUUGAAACCAUCAGGCUAGAGUCCGGAAGAGGAGAGUGGAAUUCCCGGUGUAGCGGUGAAAUGCGCAGAUAUCGGGAAGGACACCCGUGGCUAAGGCGGCUCUCUAGUACGGUACUGACGCUGAGACGCGAAAGCGUGGGGAGCGAACAGG
rnacentral:rRNA from 1 species